AGAACUGGGACCACCGGGGGCGGUGAGGCGGCUUGGCACUGGGAGCUGCAUCUGAGGCUUAGUCCCUGAGUUCUCCGCCUGCCCAGACUAGCUGCACCUCCUCAUUCCCUGCGCCCCCUUCCUCUCCGGAAGCCCCCCAGGAUGGUGAGGUGGUUUCACCGAGACCUCAGUGGGCUGGAUGCAGAGACCCUGCUCAAGGGCCGAGGUGUCCAUGGUAGCUUCCUGGCUCGGCCCAGUCGCAAGAACCAGGGUGACUUCUCGCUCUCCGUCAGGGUAGGGGAUCAGGUGACCCAUAUUCGGAUCCAGAACUCAGGGGAUUUCUAUGACCUGUAUGGAGGGGAGAAGUUCGCAACACUGACAGAGCUGGUGGAGUACUACACUCAGCAGCAGGGCGUCCUGCAGGACCGCGAUGGCACCAUCAUCCACCUCAAGUACCCGCUGAACUGCUCCGAUCCCACUAGUGAGAGGUGAGGGCUCCACACCCCCGCCACUCCCAAGCAGGGACGAGCCGGCU
rnacentral:sRNA from 1 species